UACGGGGGGGGGUAAGCGUUGUUCGGAAUUACUGGGCGUAAAGGGCUCGUAGGCGGCCAACUAAGUCAGACGUGAAAUCCCUCAGCUUAACUGGGGAACUGCGUCUGAUACUGGAUGGCUUGGAUCCGGAAGAGGGAUGCGGAAUUCCAGGUGUAGCGGUGAAAUGCGUAGAUAUCUGGAGGAACACCGGUGGCGAAGGCGGCAUCCUGGGCCGGUAUUGACGCUGAGGAGCGAAAGCCGGGGGGAGCAAACGGG
rnacentral:rRNA from 1 species